CGGGAGGAGGAGGAGGCCGGGGAGGAGGAGGAGAUAAAGGCGGGGGUGACGAGCGGCCGCGGCGGCGAGGAGAGCGGGAGGGAGCGCCGCACUCGCCCGCCCGCGUCGUCCUUUGUGUAGCGGCGGCGGCGGCGGCGGCGGCGGCGGCGCCUGAGCUUGCUCCGGCCGCUCCUGGCCCCGGGGGGCGCCCGGCUGCGCGCCGCCCGUCCCCGCCCUCCCGCCCGGCGCGCGCCGAUCCUCCCCGAGCAAGAUGGCAACCCCGGCGGCGGUCAACCCUCCGGAAAUGGCUUCAGACAUCCCUGGAUCGGUGUCAUUGCCCGUUGCCCCCAUGGCGGCCACCGGACAGGUGAGGAUGGCAGGGGCCAUGCCCGCCCGCGGAGGAAAGCGGCGUUCUGGAAUGGACUUUGAUGAUGAGGAUGGUGAAGGUCCCAGCAAAUUUUCGAGAGAGAAUCACAGUGAGAUUGAACGGCGCAGGCGGAACAAGAUGACACAGUACAUCACGGAGCUGUCCGACAUGGUCCCCACGUGCAGCGCGCUGGCCCGGAAGCCAGACAAGCUGACCAUCCUCCGCAUGGCCGUCUCCCACAUGAAGUCCAUGAGGGGCACGGGCAACAAGUCGACGGAUGGCGCCUACAAGCCUUCGUUCCUAACGGAGCAGGAACUGAAGCACCUCAUCCUUGAAGCGGCUGAUGGAUUUCUGUUUGUAGUGGCAGCUGAGACAGGACGAGUGAUUUACGUAUCUGACUCCGUCACUCCUGUUCUAAAUCAGCCCCAGUCAGAGUGGUUUGGGAGCACCCUCUAUGAACAGGUGCAUCCUGAUGAUGUGGAGAAGCUGAGAGAGCAGCUGUGCACCUCGGAAAACUCAAUGACAGGCCGGAUCUUGGACCUGAAGACUGGGACAGUCAAGAAAGAAGGGCAGCAGUCGUCCAUGAGGAUGUGUAUGGGUUCGCGGCGGUCCUUCAUCUGCAGGAUGAGGUGUGGAAAUGCUCCUUUGGACCACCUUCCUUUAAACAGAAUAACCACCAUGAGGAAAAGGUUCAGGAAUGGCCUUGGCCCUGUGAAGGAAGGGGAAGCCCAGUAUGCUGUGGUCCACUGCACAGGAUACAUUAAGGCCUGGCCACCGGCAGGAAUGACUAUACCUGAAGAAGAUGCUGAUGUGGGACAAGGCAGUAAAUAUUGCCUUGUAGCAAUUGGGAGACUCCAGGUGACUAGCUCUCCUGUGUGCAUGGACAUGAAUGGGAUGUCGGUGCCCACGGAGUUCUUAUCCCGGCAUAACUCUGAUGGAAUCAUCACAUUUGUGGAUCCAAGAUGCAUCAGUGUGAUUGGCUACCAGCCUCAGGAUCUACUGGGAAAGGACAUUUUGGAGUUCUGCCACCCUGAGGAUCAGAGCCACCUGCGUGAGAGCUUUCAGCAGGUGGUUAAGCUGAAAGGCCAAGUCCUGUCGGUCAUGUAUCGAUUUCGCACCAAGAACCGGGAGUGGAUGUUGAUCCGCACCAGCAGCUUCACAUUCCAGAACCCCUACUCUGACGAGAUCGAGUACAUCAUCUGCACCAAUACCAACGUCAAGCAACUUCAGCAACAGCAGGCAGAAUUGGAAGUGCACCAGAGAGAUGGGCUGUCAUCCUACGAUUUAUCACAGGUUCCUGUCCCUAACCUACCAGGUGGUGUUCAUGAGGCCGGGAAGUCUGUGGAAAAGGCAGAUGCAAUCUUUUCCCAGGAAAGAGAUCCCCGAUUUGCUGAGAUGUUUGCAGGAAUAAGCACAUCGGAGAAGAAAAUGAUGAGCUCAGCCUCUGCAGCAGGAACCCAGCAGAUCUACUCCCAAGGCAGCCCAUUCCCCCCAGGACACUCGGGGAAGGCCUUCAGCUCUUCAGUGGUUCAUGUGCCUGGAGUGAAUGAUAUCCAGUCCUCCUCUUCCACGGGCCAGAACAUGUCCCAAAUCUCCCGGCAGCUGAACCAGAGUCAGGUGGCAUGGACGGGGAGUCGUCCACCCUUCCCCGGACAGCAAAUCCCAUCACAAUCCGGCAAGACUCAGUCAUCUCCCUUUGGGAUUGGGACAAGCCACACUUACCCGGCAGACCCUUCUUCCUACAGUCCUCUCUCCAGCCCAGCUACGUCCUCACCCAGCGGGAACGCCUACUCCAGUCUUGCCAGUAGGACUCCAGGGUUCGCUGAAAGUGGACAAAGUAGCGGGCAGUUUCAAGGGCGGCCCUCAGAAGUCUGGUCGCAGUGGCAAAGCCAGCACCACGGUCAGCAGAGCGGUGAGCAGCACUCCCACCAGCAGCCCAGUCAGACUGAAGUGUUCCAGGUAAAUCGAGCCAGCACCGCCUUCUCGUAGGUACCGGCGCCUUCUCUCUGCCUCCUUUCCUCCUCGGUCUCUGCCGUAGCUCCGAAUGCCAGAUGGUGAUCGUGAGUUCUGGCCCGGCCUGGGUCCGUGUUGUAGCCCUGAGCUAGAGGGGAGUCCAGGAAUAGAAAGUCCCGUCCUGCCCUGCAGGAAACGUUGUGUGCAAAGGGACCUGCAGCCUUUGAGCUGAGGCAGACAAGAGGAUGUUGCCCUUUGAGACUCCCCGCAGCCCCAGACUCCAGGGCCACCCGGGAGAGACACACAAAGCCAAAGACUGAAGGGAGCUUGCUCUCUGUAGCAGUGGCGGCCUCCCCUGAGGGCUGCAGGCCCCUUCUGGCCUUGAUGGCCUCCAGCUGCCAACCACCUCCACCCAGGAGGGACAGCGUGCCCCAGUCCAGACCCUGGCCUGAAUUCGGCUUCUCCCUGGCACAGCUCUUCUGCCUGGUUGAGCCUAGGUGUUGGCCGCUAGGUGAGGAUUCCAGGGCACCUUGCCUUGAACUUCUAAUCCACUGUCAUUUGAGACAUCUCUGGCCCACUACUAGUGCCUAGGGCAGAUGGAUCUAACUGUGCAGGUAGAAUGGACCCUGCUGGAGGACCCUGACUCCUUGAGGUUUCUUUGACUCCACUUUCAGCCAGAAAUGUUCUCACUAGAAGGCUCCAAACGGUGAUGCAAGCCUGUUGACUGCCCCCUCGGCCCUCCCCCCAGGUCUGCACGAGGGAAAGGCACCUUGUGACAAGGGCCUGGGCACCCUCCAUCUCACCCCAGAGCUCAGGGCUGCCCAGCAGAGCAAGGAUUGUGGGCAGGAAUCGCAUUGUGGGAGGGGUCUAGGACUGCUAGAAUCAUCGCCCCUUCUCAAGGUCAACUGUUCCUCUACCCCUCCCUCAGCCCAAGCUCCUUUCCUGCCAGGUCAACCAGAAUCUUCUCCAACAAAGAUCAAGGAUCCAGGAGUUAUUCCAGGUCUCCAAGGGCAGUAUCCCUUUAAAUAUACAGAAGAGUGUCUUGCCCAGACUUAGCCUGGCCGUCCCUAACCUACAGUAAUUGUUCCCUCCUUCCUCCCUCCCUCUUCCUCCUAUAAGUCCCCUGGCCCUUGCCCAUCCUUAUGCCUAACAUCAGCCCCCUAAGCUAGAAUUUCCUAAGUGGACCUUAAUGGUCGUGAUGCUAAAAAGAAUUCUGGGUCAAAUAAGUUUGUGAAACACUGGUUAGAGUAAUUCAAUUUCUUUGUCUUGCAGGACUUAUCAGAGUCUUUAUUAUACUAAUGAGGACUGUGAAUUUCUAGGAGGACAUGCUGCCCAUGCCAGGAGAUCCAACCCAGGGGACUGGCAACUAUAACAUCGAAGACUUUGCCGACCUGGGCAUGUUUCCACCAUUUUCUGAGUAGCUGUGGGCAGAGCGAGGCUCCCACUGUGUGGUGCCCUCCAUGCUGUGACGUCGACACCGGUAUGGAUGGGGCCCACCCUGUCCCUGCCUGCCCUGCCACAGGACACCCCACCAGAAGGCAUCUCACCCCCCUGUUCCCAUAGGCACAUCAUCGCCCAACUCUAACCUGCAACAGUGGCCGCUCUGGCACUGACCACAGGCAUUGGUAGACGUUUGGGAUUUGCUGUAUUUAUUCCGUUGCACCUGUGUGUGCUUGGGCGGGGAACAUAUUGGGCCCAUUAAAUUUGGUUGUGAAUAAUCUCUUAAUAGACAGCUUACACCUGUAAAAUGUUCAGUGCAGCCCAUUGUGACCAGGCAGCAAUAGUCAGCCUGUCCAGGAAGCUGAAAUAGGGUUUCUUCAAUCUUUUAAACUCUGCUGGAUGGGUGAGGCUCUGGGAUGUUGGGAAAAGAUGCAAGAGGGAUGCACAGCCUUUGUCUGCAAGCUGGAGGUGAGCAGAGAGCACAGGGACACAGGACACUGGCUCCCCUGCCACUCAGCUUGGCUAAAUCUGUGUGCGUCCGUGGUGCUGUGGGACAUAUGUACUUUUUGCGGUGUGACAUGAACUUCCUGUCCUAAUGGAUGUGUUGUGCCUCGUGUCUGUCGUGUGUGGCCAGAGUGAGUAUAUAGAAUCCAGAGUGUACAGUGAGUGUGAGAUCCCAGAUGCAGGGCCCCCCUGCCCAAGCUUGGCAGCACCCCAACCAGAGGGGUGUUUCAGUUGGCCUUGGCCUGGGGUCUGGGAGCUGGGCUGACCUGUGCAGGCUGGCACUUCAGCAUCUCCAGGAGUCAAGGCUGGGUACCUGCUCACUUCGAUAGGUCAGUUCUUUGGUCCAGGCCACCUGGUGUAGAUUCAAGACCUCCUCCUCUUAGAGAAACCAGCCCCUUCCUCCUACAGGAGACCCCAUGGGAAGCCUCACCUUUCUCUUUCUUAGGCGGAACAACUUCUGUUCCUGAUUACAUGUAGAUGUUUCACAUCCUUGGUCCAUUGGUGAGAGACAGACCUCGUCCCCACUCAGUGCUGUAGGAAGGCCACCUUCCGUCCUGUCCUGAGUGGUCACAGAGGCCUGGGCUCUUCUCUAGACAUGUGGAUGGGUUGGGCAGCAAGGCCUGGGUCUCCUCAUGUCCUCUGUGCCGUGCUGGCCAGCCUUGGUGGCCACAUUCUGCUCGGUGGCUCUGGAGGUGGUUAGGGAUCAACCCCACGUGUGGAGAUGGGAACUCUGAAAUGCAUUCCUCCAGGCUGCCUGAGUCUAAUUUCUUCGGCCUAUCUGGGGACAAAAAGUGUGCAGGUCUGUGGAGCAGAAGGGCCCAGUUCUCCUCCAUUCUGGUUCUGCCACAUGCUCAUGGGGGGUCUUGAAUUUCUUGGGUGGCCUGAAGACAGGAGUAAGAGCCAACUUCUAAGAGCUUUCUGCCUGGCUGAUCCCUGAGUCCAUGGUCCCCGGCUUGCUGGGUUUUGCCAAGAUUUGAGGAGAUGAGUUUAAGAAUCCAGCCCCCUCUUUCUCACUUGCCUCUGCCCCCUCCCAUGCCCUUUACAGCAGCAGAGGCUCUCUCUGCCUCUCUAGUUUUCUAGAGACAGCCAACCUCUCUUUUCCCAUCAAUAUCCCAUGAACCUAUAUGGGAUAGAACCUACACAUGGCUGCCUUUCCUAUCUGGAAAACCCUGGUGUCCCCUCCAGAGUCCCUUUUGGCCUACCGUAGCAGGCACUGCUCGGUGGUGAAAACACUGAAACAACCGGUGUCCCCCCUCAUGGAUUCCGAAGGGCCAUGGAAAGUGGAUUUAGUUCUAGGCUUCCUGAGUGCAGAGGGAGCCCAGCAUGCAGGCAGGAGCCCUGGGAGAGUGUUUGCUGUGAUCCUUUGAAAGCUCUGCAUUGAACUCAAGCCCUGUCUGGGUCCAGAGGCAUGUCCCCGCAUCGCUGGGUGGCUUCACCUAUAAAAGCCCAGCGUUUCUCUGUAGAAAGCUCUGUGUGGUUGCAGCUCCUAGGCUCUAAAUUAACACUGAUUUUACAGGUUUUAGAGUUGUUUUAAGCCUUGUGUAUAUAAUGGUGAUUGGGUCUUGAGUUUGAAUGCACAUGGUGUUGCUCCACCCUCAGGAGCCUUUUUGCUUCUGGGGAGAUGGCGGGUGGUUGCACUGUCCACCUCCUAACAGCCGGACCAGCCCAGGCUUCCCAGGUGUGCCCUGCCCCAGACCACCUCUGCCUUCAGCAGCCUGGAGAUUGCCCCAGGCAGUGGGCUUAAUUAUUCCCAAACAAAAGGCACAAGAAUCUGCUUUAGGAUUAAAGAAAAGCUUGUCAGUGAAAUGAAAACAGACUUUUUUAGGGCUUUUAGUCUGUGGGUUAGGAAGUUUAAGGGGUUUUAUGUUUGUUUUUUCCUUCUCUUUUUUUGGGAAGUUGGCAACUUGACUUAGGUGCAAUGAAUGGGCCCAUUUCCUGUGAGCCUGCCUUGUAUCCGGGUCUGUGCUGAGCACUGAGGGGACCAAAAAAUUAUGAGAGGAUCCUGGCUUCCAACAGCCUUUCAUCUGUUCUCAAACAGGGCUUUAGGUUGCAGCCAACCCAGUUCUUGGUCCUGGAAAGUGAGAAUUUGGGGGUGACUGAAAUCCAGACAACUGAGGAGCAUCCUAACAAAAUAGUCCCAACCUCCUUCCCUUACAGCUUUGUCCUGGGAGCAGCAGCAGGGAAUCUGAUUGACUUGAGUUGUGUGUCUUUACUGUUCCUGACUCUACUUUUUGGUUGUGAUUCUAAGAAGCCAUCAUGUGGCCUGUAAGAAAAUAGGGGAGAAGGAGGAGGCAAAGCUCAGGACUGACAGAAUCCCACACACCCAGGGGAUUCUCACCCAAUUCUUGAGAAAAGCUGAAGUAAGAAUUUUCAAAAGAACCUCCCGUGCCAGUCCUGCCCAGCCUUAGAAGGCAGAAUGCUCAAGGACCCUGUCCUCUGCUUGUCCUUCAGUCAGCCCCAGCCCAGAUACCUCCCCUACUGGAGAUGGAGUCAAAGCCCAGGCUGGAAAGGUGAGACACUUAGGACUUGUGUGCUUCUGUGGCUCACUUCCUCACUUGCACCUCAUCUGAACUACUAGACUUUCCACUGGCCUCCUUUAGGCUAUGCAAGCAGAUGGUUUUCCACGGAAGAGGGCCAUGUGGUUGCUGCCUGAGCCAUUGGUGAGGACACAAAAGCAGCCACACUGGGUCUCAACCAAGACUAGGUCAGUGACUGUAGUAGUGGCUAAGAAUGGUUCUAACUAUAUGUCACUACCUACUAGUGUUUUGCUUUUAGCUUUGGUUUCAGGGAGUGAUAGAGCCAUCACAAAGGGCUACAUUCUCUGUUUCCCAAUGUAUCUAAUUCAAUCCUUUUGUUAUUUCAUGAAUACCUCUUGAAAAUAGGGGGAAAUCCUGAUAUUUAAUGAAACUUACAUCGGGGGGUGUAAAUCGUCUCUGUGUUACCUAGAUGAGCCACACUUGCAGAUGUCAUUGCUGCUACCAGCCUUAGCCAUAAAUGAGGCAGGCCCCGGGGUCCUCAACGAUGAUAGAGCAGUCAACACACGCGUCUCUAGGCCCACCAGCUCCAUAACCAUUAAGACCUGUCACAGGAACAAGAACAAGCAGUUACCAAGCAGCUUUAGUCAGUAACAAGUCAGAAUAGAAACACUCUUUGUGUCACCAGGAAAUAUGGGUUUGGUCCUUAAGUAGCUGCAUGCUGGCUUCCCAGAGGUCCAUGUCCACCUCCAGUGCCCCCACCCCAUCUCAUACUAAGCAGCCAUGAGCCUCAACUGCCUGGAGUCUGGGGAAACUUGAAGAGGCACCACACAGUCACACAGGCCCAUUUUCACAUGUAGGUGUGCUUGGAUUUUGUGGCCAAAGCUGGUUUUGUUGUCAAGCAAAUGAUCAAAAUCUGUGGGGCACUGACUGAAAGCACCAAAAGGAAGGUUCCACAGGCUGUGUGGGAACAGGCAGCUUGCUUCAUGUAACCAACUAGUUUUCCUUAAAAAUCAAAAGAUUUCUCAGAGAGGCUUCAGUGGAAAAUUUAAGCACUUAAUUGUUCCUCUUUUAACCUUUCUUCUUAUGGAUGUGAACUGUGCUGUGGAUAAAUCAUAAUUUGUAUUUCUUGAAUAGUCUCUAUGACUAACAGUUAUUACGUUGAUUGUGUAUAUGUGUAAUUAAUGUAACUGCCUUUUAAAAUUUCAUGACAAUAAAAAUGACUUUGCUCUGAACA